rnacentral:rRNA from 1 species
UAAGUAGAUAGUGAAAGCGUGUGGCUCAACCAUACUCACAUUGUCUAAACUGCUCAGCUAGAGGACGAGAGAGGUCGUUGGAAUUCCUAGUGUAGGAGUGAAAUCCGUAGAUAUUAGGAGGAACACCGAUGGCGUAGGCAGACGACUGGCUCGUUCCUGACACUAAGGCACGAAAGCGUGGGAGCAAACGGGAUUAGAUACCCCGGUAGUCCACGCCGUAAACUAUGGAUGCUA